rnacentral:lncRNA from 1 species
UUUUAUAUUUCUUUUAUUUUAUUUUUCAAAAUUGAGUCGAGUUUUUGAUCGUUUUAACUCUGGAAUGGAUCUGUGUACAAUAAGCCGAUGCUCUGGAUUUGAAAUUAUGAAGGAAGCAUGGUAAUGUGCACAGAGAAUGAAGAUUAAGGUCGGCAUGUCUGCUCUCUCUGAUUCUAUAUGAUUUGGGGGCCUGGUUUAGACCUACAAUUUUUCUUUUAUUUUUAACCUAUCGAGCUCUUCAUAUUUUAUUUCUCUGAUAUGAAUGCAUUUUUUUUUUAUUUAAGGUUGCAGUGAAUUAAGAUUUAUAUUAUUGGUUUGUAAUUUUUCCUUGAAUGGGUUACUUUCCUUUAAAUGUUUUG